rnacentral:lncRNA from 1 species
ACGCUCGCAGCUAGUAAACAUACUCCUCCGCAGGUUCUUCUUCUGGGAUCUGCCAUACAACAAACACAAUACCCACCACCACCUCCUAAGAAAUUCAACUUCAUUUCCCACUUCCAUUAACUCUUCAUUCCAUAUUAUACUAUGCAUUGAACAAAUUCAUAUUCAUGCUCCGUGAGCAACUACAUCACAAGUCUUUUUACCUCUCCAGGUUUCCAUGUUUCUUUCGACCAGAUGCUCCUAUCCCCAGAAGCCUUUUCCUUUUCGACACUAUUUCUGCAGGUUACCAAAACAGUUAGUUACCAAUAAGAAUGCAUGCUUCUACAACGUACCUAUUCGAAACCCAUAAGUUACAUUCUCAUCAUCCGCACUUACACUGCCAGACUACUUGAUGCUUCUGCAUUCAGAUUGGAACUAAUAGGGUUCUGCGUAGUGAAUGAUUGAGAAGAAGAUAAUAGAUUGCUUCCUCCACAUGAUACUGCACUGUUGGUAGGAAAUCCUGCAACGUUAGGAAAGGAACUUCUGUGGUGCUGACUGUCAAGUUGGCCUCCAAAUGGAACUGCCAUUGACAAACCU